GACGAACGCUGGCGGCGUGCCUAAUACAUGCAAGUAGGACGCAGUUGCGAACGGGUGAGUAACGCGUAGGUAACUACCUAUUAGAGGGGGAUAACUAUUGGAAACGAUAGCUAAUACCGCAUACUAGUAGAUGGACCUGCGUUGUAUUAGCUAGUAGGUAGGGUAAAGGCCUACCUAGGCAACGAUACAUAGCCGAGUGUGGAGGGUGGACGGCUAAAAGGGGACUGGGACAGGGCGCAGACUGCGAAGGGAGGAAGCAGUAGGGAAUCUUCGGCGAUGGGGGAAAAGCUGACCGAGCAACGCGGGGUGAGUGAAGAAGGUUUUCGGAUCGUAAAGCUAUGUUGUUAAGGGAGCGGUACUUAAACAGAAAGGGACGGCUAACUACGUGCCAGCAGCCGCGGUAAUAC
rnacentral:rRNA from 1 species